rnacentral:sRNA from 2 species
CCUACGUCCAAGCCUUGCCUGGGAUUUGCUUGGAAUCCAGCCACUGUUACUGUCCCGUGCCGUCUCAUUGGCCAACGCACCAAUGUCGUGACUGAGUAACUUCAGAUUCGCCCAGCGCAGGGAGGGAUUGGUCCCAGGAAGACGUGGAUGGCAAAGCGCCCAGGGCUGCCUAUGCGUCCUUGGCCUGAGAUGAUUUAUAUUUUUCCAGCCCCCCGAGACCACUCAGUCUUGAGUUGGAUAUCACAGUUGACCCAGUUGCCAGGAUGUGCCGUAGCAGCCAGUUUCCAGGUGCUAUCAACCAAAAGGAAAGAUGAACAUGCGCAAGAGGCGUGCUGUGGCCA